rnacentral:rRNA from 1 species
CCUACGGGGGGCAGCAGUGAGGAAUAUUGGUCAAUGGACGAGAGUCUGAACCAGCCAAGUAGCGUGAAGGAUGACUGCCCUAUGGGUUGUAAACUUCUUUUAUAUGGGAAUAAAACGUUCCACGUGUGGGAUUUUGUAUGUACCAUAUGAAUAAGGAUCGGCUAACUCCGUGCCAGCAGCCGCGGUAAUACGGAGGAUCCGAGCGUUAUCCGGAUUUAUUGGGUUUAAAGGGAGCGUAGGUGGAUUGUUAAGUCAGUUGUGAAAGUUUGCGGCUCAACCGUAAAAUUGCAGUUGAAACUGGCAGUCUUGAGUAUAGUAGAGGUAGGCGGAAUUCGUGGUGUAGCGGUGAAAUGCUUAGAUAUCACGAAGAACUCCGAUUGCGAAGGCAGUUCACUGGACUGCAACUGACACUGAGGCUCGAAAGUGUGGGUAUCAAACAGGAUUAGAUACCCCAGUAGUC